AUGGUUCAACUAGAUUAUAGUGGCCUCCCAGGAAUAGCUUUUUUAUGUUGUAUUUGGACAAAUAUAUUCAAGAACAAUAUCUUCUUUGUCCUUGUUUCCAAAAAGCCCAACUUGGAGCAUAUUGUACAACAACUAUAUCGACACAAGGAAUACCAGGUACCUAAUGACCUCCAUCUUGAAGAAAUUGCAAUUCUCAGGCUGCAAAAUUUUUUGAAGGAACCAGGACAAAAUCCUGUACUAUUGGUCCUAGAUGAUGUUUGGUCAGAAUCCGUUCUUGACAAGUUUGAUCAAUUCAAAAUGUCAAAUUACAAGAUUUUGGUGACAUCAAUAUCUGAGUUUCCAAGAUUUGGUUAUGCAUAUCGUUUAAAACCGUUGAAUGAUGAAGAUGCAAUGACCCUAUUUCAUCAUUCUGCUUCACUCGGAGAUAAGAGCUCUUAUGUUCCACAACCCCUUGCCAGACAGAAUUUGAAACGCUGUAAGGGAUUUCCACUUGCCAUUACAACUAUCGGAAGAUCACUUUGCGAACAAUCCAUAGAGACUUGGACUAGAAGACUAAGGGUUUGGUGUGAAGAUUCUUCUCUUCUUGAUUCCGAAACCGAUUUCCUUGGUUGCUUCCAAAGCAACUUAGAUGCGUUGGGUAAAAAACGACCUAGCAUCAGGGAAUGUUUCAUAGACCUUGGUUCAUUUCCUGAAAAUCAAAGAAUCCAUGUGGCUGACCUCAUUGAUAUAUGGACAGAGUUAUAUGAGCUAGAUGAAGACACUCUACCCAUUGCGAACCUCCACGAACUCACCAGUCUGAGUUUGGCUAAUUAUAUAGUCACAAGGGAGGAGAAGAUGAAGGUAGACGGCUACUACAGCGAACACUUUCUUACCCAGCACUAUAUGCUUAGACAGCUGGCUAUCUAUCGUGAGAGUCGGGAUGCAAUAGUACAUCGAGAAAGGCUAAUUCUGGACAUAUGUGGAAACACUCUUCCCAGUUGGUUGAAAGAACAGAAAGCUCAACCUGUCAAGGCUCGCCUAUUAUCUAUAUCAACAGAUGGAAUGUUCUCAACAAAAUGGCCCAACAUGCAACUGCCAGAAGUUGAAGUUCUAGUUUUGACAUUUCAGACAAAGAACUAUGCCUUGCCUGAAUUUGUGGAGAAACUCGAAAAAUUGAAGGCUCUGGUAGUGACAUAUUAUGGUUCAUAUCCUGCUGAGUUAAGAAGGUUUCAGCUACUUGGUUCGCUACCAAAUCUGAAGAGAAUCAUAUUAGAGCGCAUUUCAAUACCUUCCAUAAGCAAGAUCCCCAUAGUCUUGAAGAGUCUGCAAAAGAUAUCUUUUUUCAAGUGUAACAUCGGUCAAGAUUUCGUCCACUGUUCCAUCAAACUUUCAGAUGCAUUGCCAAAUCUAGCGGAAAAGAACAUUGAUUUUUGUAAUGAUCUGAUGGAAUUGCCGGACAAGCUAUGUGGUCUUUUUCACCCGAAGAAACUCAGUAUUACUAACUGUUGUAGGCUAUCGACAUUGCCCGUGGGGAUUGGACAGCUGGGCAAUUUACAGGUGUUAAGGCUAUGGUCUUGCACAGACUUGUUGAAGUUGCCAGGGUCGAUUAGGAAACUUAAAAGGUUAAACUUUCUAGACAUAUCUGAUUGCUUCAGCAUUAUGGAGUUGCCUAAAUACAUUUGUGAAAUGUGCAGUUUAAGAAAGCUCAACAUUAGGCACUGCUCAAAACUGAAAGAGCUCCCUCAAUCAGUUUCAAAGCUUGAGUAGCUAAAGGAUGUGAUAUGUGAUGAAGCGACUAAAAAGUUAUGGCAACCGUUCUUAUCCAGUUUCAGAAACAUAUGCAUAAAGGUGAAGGCAAUGUAG